GACGAACGCUGGCGGCGUGCCUAAUACAUGCAAGUCGAGCGGACUUUCAAGAAGCUUGCUUUUUGAAAGUUAGCGGCGGACGGGUGAGUAACACGUGGGCAACCUGCCUGUAAGACGGGGAUAACUCCGGGAAACCGGGGCUAAUACCGGAUAAUAUCUUUCUUCGCAUGAAGGAAGGUUGCAAGGCGGCGCAAGCUGCCGCUUGCCGAUGGGCCCGCGGCGCAUUAGCUAGUUGGUGAGGUAACGGCUCACCAAGGCGACGAUGCGUAGCCGACCUGAGAGGGUGAUCGGCACACUGGGACUGAGACACGGCCCAGACUCCUACGGGGGGCAGCAGUAGGGAAUCUUCCGCAAUGGACGAAAGUCUGACGGAGCAACGCCGCGUGAGCGAAGAAGGUCUUCGGAUCGUAAAGCUCUGUUGUCAGGGAAGAACAAGUACCGUUCGAAUAGGGCGGUACCUUGACGGUACCUGACCAGAAAGCCACGGCUAACUACGUGCCAGCAGCCGCAGUAA
rnacentral:rRNA from 1 species